AAUUCCUUGUCGGGUAAGUUCCGACCUGCACGAAUGGCGUAACGAUGGCGGCGCUGUCUCCACCCGAGACUCAGUGAAAUCGAAAUCGCAGUGAAGAUGCUGUGUACCCGCGGCUAGACGGAAAGACCCCGUGAACCUUUACUAUAGCUUUGCACUGGACUUUGAAUUUGCUUGUGUAGGAUAGGUGGGAGACGGUGAAGCGGGCACGCCAGUGCACGUGGAGUCAACGUUGAAAUACCACUCUGGUCGUACUAGAUGUCUAACCUAGGUCCGUUAUCCGGAUCAGGGACAGUGCCUGAUGGGUAGUUUAACUGGGGCGGUUGCCUCCCAAAAUGUAACGGAGGCGCCCAAAGGUUCCCUCAUCCUGGUUGGUAAUCAGGUGUCGAGUGUAAGUGCACAAGGGAGCUUGACUGUGAGACAGACAUGUCGAGCAGGGACGAAAGUCGGGACUAGUGAUCUGACGGUGGCUUGUGGAAGUGCCGUCACUCAACGGAUAAAAGGUACCUCGGGGAUAACAGGCUGAUCUUGCCCGAGCGCUCACAGCGACGGCAUGGUUUGGCACCUCGAUGUCGGCUCGUCGCAUCCUGGGGCUGGAGUCGGUCCCAAGGGUUGGGCUGUUCGCCCAUUAAAGCGG
rnacentral:rRNA from 13 species